rnacentral:rRNA from 1 species
AUGAACGCUGGCGGCGUGCCUAAUACAUGCAAGUCGAGCGAACAGACGAGAGUGCUUGCACUCUCUGACGUUAGCGGCGGACGGGUGAGUAACACGUGGGUAACCUACCUAUAAGACUGGGAUAACUUCGGGAAACCGGAGCUAAUACCGGAUAAUAUUUAGCUUCGCAUGAAGCAAUAGUGAAAGACGGUUCUGCUGUCACUUAUAGAUGGACCCGCGGUGUAUUAGCUAGUUGGUGAGGUAACGGCUCACCAAGGCUACGAUACAUAGCCGACCUGAGAGGGUGAUCGGCCACACUGGGACUGAGACACGGCCCAGACUCCUACGGGAGGCAGCAGUAGGGAAUCUUCCGCAAUGGACGAAAGUCUGACGGAGCAAUGCCGCGUGAGUGAAGAAGGUUUUCGGAUCGUAAAACUCUGUUGUAAGGGAAGAACAAGUACGUUAGUAACUGAACGUACCUUGACGGUACCUUACCAGAAAGCCACGGCUAACUACGUG